AUUCGACCGGGGAGGUUUUGGUCACCUACGGAUGUCGGCUCAUCGCAUCCUGGGGCUGUAGNGGUCCCAAGGUUGGUCUUGUUCGCCCAUUAAAGCGGUACGCGAGCUGGGUUCAAGAACGUUCGUGAGACAAGUUCGGCCCUAUCCGUCGCGGGCGCAGGAAAUUUGAGAGGAGCUGUCCUUAGUACGAGAGGACCGGGAUGGACGUUCCGCUGGUGUACCAGUUGUGCCGCCAGGCGCAUCGCUGGGUAGCUAUGAACGGCAGGGAUAAACGCUGAAAGCAUCUAAGUGUGAAGCCCCCCUCGAGAUGAGAUUUCCCAUUCCUAUAUGGAAGUAAGACCCCUGAGAGAUGAUCAGGUAGAUAGGCUGGAAGUGGAAGUGCAGCGAUGCAUGGAGCGGACCAGUACUAAUCGGUCGAGGACUUAACCAA
rnacentral:rRNA from 2 species